rnacentral:misc_RNA from 1 species
GUAGGUGAACCUGCGGAAGGAUCAUUAACACGUAUCCAACGUUAAACAACCCUGUGAACCUUCAUUCCUGCUCUCCUCGAGCCCUAACAAAAGCAAUCCUUGGUAAAUCACGCGAACAGUUUGAUUCAAGGACCUCUCUUGAUAGCCCUCGGGGAUUCGAUGCGGUCGUCGCAACUAGGCUUGGCUUCUGCGGGGUAGUCAGUGGGUGAUAGUGCCAUUGAUUGCUUAAGCGGAUAACCGACCUUUGCAU